UACAGAGGUCUCAAGCGUUGUUCGGAUUCAUUGGGCGUAAAGGGUGUGUAGGUGGCGCGCUAAGUCGGGUGUGAAAUUUCGGAGCUUAACUCCGAAACUGCAUUCGAUACUGGCGUGCUUGAGGACUGGAGAGGAGACUGGAAUUCAUGGUGUAGCAGUGAAAUGCGUAGAAAUCAUGAGGAAGACCAGUGGCGAAGGCGGGUCUCUGGACAGUUCCUGACACUGAGGCACGAAGGCCAGGGGAGCAAACGGG
rnacentral:rRNA from 1 species